UCUCGCAUGUGCUCGCAUGUUCUCGCGCAACACGUGUGCCCGAUGUGCUCGACGAAAUCUGAUUUUUGACGAGAUCUGAUAGUUCCACACAAAAGAUAGAAAAUCAUUUGAUGAAAAAUAUUGGAAAAGAGAGGAAAUAUAGAAAAUCAAGCAUAUAGUACAUAAAUAUGUAAUUAUUGCGUAUUGUAAAAAAUAUGGAUAAAUAUAACGCAAAACAAAAAAAAAUUGUUUCUAAACGUCACAAUAGACGAAUUAUAGCAAAUAAUACAGAUUGAUAUAGCAGGAUGCUCUGAAUUUAUUUCGAAUCGGCACACUAUAAAUAUUUCUUCUAAAAAUUCUUCUAAUCUAGAUUUAUUUGAUGAGACUCUUGCAGAAAUUCAUAUUUCUAAUUUACAUGAUACUCAGAAAAUUUUUAAUGAAACUACAUUGUCAGAAAAACAUAAUAAUGAUAUACAAACAAACAGUUGUAACUAUCAGAACUGUAUUACUAACGAAACUAUCACGGCUAAUAAUGUUAAUAAUGAGGACGAAUUAAGAAAUGCUAUAGCUACAUGGGCAGUAUCCCAUAAUAUUACCCAUAACGCAUGUAAUGACUUAUUACAUAUUUUACAUCGGUAUACGCCGUAUAACAUACCUGUAGAUGUACGUACAUUAUUGCACACUCCUAGACAAACUAAUAUUUCUAGAAUAUGUGAAGGGGAAUAUUUUCAUUCGAAUUUGCAGGAUAUUAUUAAAAAGAUGCUAUCAAAAAAUAAUGAUACCUGUAUUAAUUUAAUUUUAAAUAUUGAUGGUCUUCCAUUAGCAAAAUCAUCACAAGCAACUUUAUGGACAAUUUUAUGUUCUAAUACGGUAAAUACGACAGUAUAUCUUGUUGGUGCUUACUUUGGAUAUCAAAAACUUUCUGACCCUAAUGUUUUUUUGCAACCUGUAGUUGAUGACUUAAUUAAUUUAACUAAUAAUGGCUACAUUCAUGCCGAAAAAAUAAUCACAAUUAAAUUAUGUGCUUUAAUAUGCGACGCACCUGCAAAGUCAUUCGUUUUAUGUACAAAAAGUCACAAUGCAUAUUUUAGUUGCACUAAAUGCUUAAUAAAAGGAAAGUAUCUAAAUGGUAGAAUUUGUUUUCCAUCUCACAAAACUUAUCCUCUAAGAAAAGAUGAGUUAUUUGCCCUCAACGCAUAUAAAGAUUUUCAGAUUGGAUUUUCUAUAUUAAAUAAUAUUUCCAAAUUUUUACCUUUAACUAAUACCUCCUUAGACUAUAUGCAUCUUAUACGUUUAGGGAUCGUAAAAAAAAUACUAAUUCUAUUGAUGACAGGGCCAUUCUCUGUACGUUUAGGUAGAAGAGCCAUUAAUAAAAUAUCACAUUUAUUAAUGUUAUUUAGAUUUACUACACCAAAUGAUUUUGUACGACGACCUAGGUCGUUAAAAGAAGUAAAGAAUUGGAAAGCUGUAGAAUUUCGAAAUUUCUUAUUAUACACAGGUCCUAUCGUAUUAAAGGAUAUAUUAAAGCAUGCUUUGUAUAUUCAUUUUCUAACACUACAUGUAGCUAUAACAAUUCUUAUACGUCAAAAUUCAUGCCAAGAAGAAUUAAAUUUUGCUGAAGCUUUAUUGAAGCACUUCGUUAAAUCUUUUGAAAUAUUAUACGGUAAACAGUAUGUAUCGCACAAUGUACAUAAUCUUUUGCAUAUAUGUUCUGACGUUAAAAUGUAUGGCCCACUAGACAAUUUCAGUGCUUUUCGGUUUGAAAAUUAUAUGUCGUUUAUUAAAAGACGAUUACGUAAAAAUGAAAAACCAUUACAACAAUUAGUUAAAAGAUAUCAUGAGAUUGAUAAUUGUAAUGUAUUACCUUCGGAGAAUAAUGAAACAUAUUCAUGUAAAUUUGUACACAGCAAUGGUCCAAUACCAGACCAUUUUAAUGUUCACUUACAAUAUCAAAUGAUAUGUAACGGAAAAUUUAAUAUAAAUUGCAAAGGUGGUAAUAACAAUUGUUGUCUAUUAAAAGAUGGUACAUAUGUUCUGAUUCUAAACAUAGUACAAAAAAAAAUAAAGACAUUUUUCUAAUUGGAAAAAAACUGAAAUACUUAAAAGAAGUCUAUACAUUACCAUGUAACUCCAGCGAUUUUGGUAUUAAAAUCAUGAGUGUAGAUUAUAAUAAUAUUUUCUCUUGGCCAAUUACUGAUUUAUUAUGCAAAACUUGGAAAAUUUCUUAUGGCAAUGAUCGAGAUAUAUUUGCUAUAUUUCCUCUUAAUCAUCAAAUAUAACAAGGGUGGCCAAAAUCCGUGGCACGCGUACCAUUAUUAUACAAUUUUAUAGUGAUACGCUUAGAAAAGCUUAAAGUCUUUUUGCUUUUAGUGCAAGAAAAGAAAACGUAUAAGUAAGAUUACGAUCUUUCUUUUUACCUAAUUUUGUAGUAGCACAUCGAAGAUUUCAAACCUUUAUUGUGGUACGCCCGACAAAAAGAAAUGGACAGCAACAGAUUUAUAAUUGCGGAAUUUAAUGACGGGUUACAGUUAAUACCCGCAAUAUGGUAUAAUGCAAAUAAAUCUUCAAGCAUCUGGCCUAGU